rnacentral:rRNA from 1 species
UACGUAGGGAGCAAGCGUUGUCCGGAAUCAUUGGGCGUAAAGCGCGCGUAGGCGGCCCCGUGAGUCCGCUGUGAAAGUCAAAGGCUCAACCUUUGAAAGCCGGUGGAUACUGUGGGGCUAGAGUACGGAAGAGGCGAGUGGAAUUCCUGGUGUAGCGGUGGAAUGCGCAGAUAUCAGGAGGAACACCAAUAGCGAAGGCAGCUCGCUGGGACGUUACUGACGCUGAGGCGCGAAAGCGUGGGGAGCGAACAGG